AGGACAUGUUAAAGAGAGCUUAUUAGACUCCUAACCAAGAGCUCUUGACAUUGUGACCAAAGACUGACAUUGUCCAGUGGGUGACAUAGUCACUCACGAGUACUGUUUUCCGGAGGGGACAUAAUU
rnacentral:snoRNA from 1 species